UACAGAGGUGGCAAGCGUUGCUCGGUAUCACUGGGCUUAAAGGGCGCGUAGGCGGUGCGGUGCGGUUUCGGUGAAAUCCCUCGGCCCAACCGAGGAACAGCCGGGGCUACGGCCGCGCUAGACGGCAUCAGGGGACAGUGGAACUCCCGGUGUAGCGGUGAAAUGCGUAGAGAUCGGGAGGAACAUCCGUGGCGAAGGCGGCCAUCUGGAUCAACACUGACGCUGAGGCACGAAAGCGUGGGGAGCAAACAGGG
rnacentral:rRNA from 1 species